AAUGGGCGAAAGCCUGACGGAGCAACGCCGCGUGAGGGAUGAAGGCCUCUGGGCUGUAAACCUCUUUUAUCAAGGAAGAAGAUCUGACGGUACUUGAUGAAUAAGCCACGGCUAACUCCGUGCCAGCAGCCGCGGUAAUACGGGAGUGGCAAGCGUUAUCCGGAAUUAUUGGGCGUAAAGCGUCCGCAGGCGGCCCUUCAAGUCUGCUGUUAAAAAGUGGAGCUUAACUCCAUCAUGGCAGUGGAAACUGUUGGGCUUGAGUGUGGUAGGGGCAGAGGGAAUUCCCGGUGUAGCGGUGAAAUGCGUAGAUAUCGGGAAGAACACCAGUGGCGAAGGCGCUCUGCUGGGCCAUCACUGACGCUCAUGGACGAAAGCCAGGGGAGCGAAAGGGAUU
rnacentral:rRNA from 1 species